AAAAUAUUUUAUUAUUCAUGACACAUUCCGACCUGGAAAGGUCGAAGCAUGCUGACCGUCACCGUGAGGUGACGUAACCAUAAGGGUAAGUGAUGCAAAAAGUGAAUAAAAUUAAAACUAAUUAGAACUAAACAGUGAAAAAGUGCGCAAUUCGUGGGUUGAACCCACUACAAUUAUUCAGAGCGUAAUAGACAGGGAGACUACGAAAGAGUAGUCAAAGCAACCAAAGUACACUUAUUACAUAAUAGUGAUAAGUUCGUACGUCUAAACAGAAGGAAAUGUCAAAACUGCCGUGAUUCCUCGAGUGCCACUAAGAGUACAGCUAUCUAGGUCCUGGAGGGGCGAAAACAAAGUUGAGUGGGUCAGCAAAACAAGGCUUAUAAGAAAACCAUUAUCUUUGAAUAUACUAACCUCUCGCCAUAAAAUAAGUAUAGUUUCCUCAAAACAUACUACGUAAGUAUGAAAUCCAAUAUAUCAGCCAUAUAACUAGAAAUAUGUCAAGUAAAUGAUGUAUCAUAUGCCACAAUAAUAAUCAUGUGAUAAUCAAUAUUACUAAGUGCUCAUCCAUCUAAGCUGACACACAAGUUCGAACAAAUGGUUUCUGACACGAACAGGACUGGGUGUAAUCAAUAUGCUCUAGUACUAUGAUCACGUGAAGACUGGUGCAAAAGCACAUCACAUACAAGUCGGAUCGCCUAAUGCAAUCUACCCGACAAGACUGGCACCUAAACUUGGAUCCAAGGUGAGCGAAUGGUGCAGAUGUGAACAUACACGUGAAGGACUGGCCCUGGGGCGAGUAUUAACACCGGGUGUAGCAGGAUAAGCAUGUACACAAGUACGUAUGAAUGCCAUGACAGUAAUAUCACAACCGUAUAGCAGCAUUUAUUACAAUUUAUAUCACAAUAAAGAUACUAGGCAAGUUAGGCGUAAAAGUGAAGUAAAUACGCAUUUAUGGAAACUAUAAAUAUAUAUAGGUAUAAAACAACUACCCACUCACAAGUACGUUGCUGGGUCGUAGCUCCCGAGCCUAGCUUGGCCUCGAAAAUCCUCGAAAUAAGUUUCCCCUAUAUGUGAAAUAACUAAAUAACAUUAAUUAAAGCACAUAACGGAAACCUAAAUAAAACCUUCAUAGUUUGCUCAAACCUAGGGUGUAAAUAUAUGAAAUCGAUCUGCUCGACGACACGAACACACACGUGUCAACCACGUGCUGCCCAAAGUGGCUGUCCACGCGCGCCCACGUGCCCCCUCGAGUACACUGUACUUGCCUUCUUCGCGAAAAUCUGCAGUUUUUCAGAUUUUUUGCCCAACUUCUAGAGCUCAUAACGAGUUCGAUUCUCAACCAAAUUCACUUCUACAAAAGCCAAAUUAAAGCUAGGAAUGUGAUCUACCGAUCCCAAUUUACAGAAAGUUUGAAUAUAGUCCGUGUUGUUCAGGAAUUUGGCCUAAAAGUUGCCAAACGACCACGGUUGAAAUUUUCAGAAAACUAUAAUUUUCUUCCCAACUUCCAGAGUUGAUUUCUAACUCGUUACUUAACCAAACUCAGUGAUUCAAAAGCCAUUUUGAAGUUAGGAAUGUAGAGAACAAGUUUGUACAUAGAAGAAGUCCAGUUGUGGUCGAGGUUGACCAGAAAAACAGUUUGAAAGUGACCAAAUGGCCACAGUUCUUGAGUGAAAAAUGGCAGGUUCUCCUUCUUCUCGAGUUUCUGGGUACAACCACACGUUCAAAACACAAACAAAGGAUCAAUAACAACCCAUAGAAGUGAAAUGAAGGUUCUAAGGGUUUCUCAAGGCUUACCUAAGCCAUACAUGGCCUGAAAAUCGAUAUGUCGAACUCGCCGAGUCGACCUUCCGAGUUAGUGAGUCAAAACUCGUCUACAUCAUAUUUCAAGGACAUGGUUGUGAUCAUGGGACUGAGAUGAUCACAAUGGUGUAGUUGGUUUGUCACGUUUGUGAGUUUUGGUGUGUUUUGUGGUUGUUGCAGAGAGGAAGAAGAAGAAGAAAUGUGGCGUGGGAGAGGGAGAAGAGAGAGAGAGAUGCUUUUCUGAUUGAGGGAACAGAAAAUAAAGAAGAGAUGGGAUAGGUGA
rnacentral:lncRNA from 1 species